UUCCUUAUGGGUGUUCAGCAUUGCCAACAACAUUAUACCUCAGAUCCCGUCAUCACUUUAGCCAUGGAGGGCGAAGGUUGUUGAUCAGUCAAAACCCACAGAAGCAGUGGGAUGUCAAGCUUGUUUUUGAACUGUUUGGUGUUGACAUUGUUGAUCGAAGAGUUAUCGAGAUCAGUUUUGACGAUGGAUCAGUAUCGGAAUGAGGUUUUGUGGGCAGUUCGAAUUGGCUUAUUCGUGAUCGCCAUGGCAGCGCCUUAGCAGCAGGAGGGAGGUGGUUGGCGUCGACCUCGGUUUCCAUGGCUG
rnacentral:lncRNA from 1 species